rnacentral:rRNA from 1 species
CGGAUUGAAGGCUGAAAUUCGCCUUCAUGAAGUCGGAAUUGCUAGUAAUGGCAGGUCAGCAUACUGCCGUGAAUACGUUCCCGGGCCUUGUACACACCGCCCGUCACACCAUGAGAGUUGGAGAUACCCGAAGCCUAUGAGCUAACUUUUAGAGGCAGUAGUCGAAGGUAGAAUCAAUGAUUGGGGUGAAGUCGUAACAAGGUACC